rnacentral:rRNA from 1 species
AUUGAACGCUGGCGGCAGGCCUAACACAUGCGAGUCGAGCGGAUGAAGGGAGCUUGCUCCUGGAUUCAGCGGCGGACGGGUGAGUAAUGCCUAGGAAUCUGCCUGGUAGUGGGGGACAACGUUUCGAAAGGAACGCUAAUACCGCAUACGUCCUGCGGGAGAAAGCAGGGGACCUUCGGGCCUUGCGCUAUCAGAUGAGCCUAGGUCGGAUUAGCUAGUUGGUGAGGUAAUGGCUCACCAAGGCGACGAUCCGUAACUGGUCUGAGAGGAUGAUCAGUCACACUGGAACUGAGACACGGUCCAGACUCCUACGGGAGGCAGCAGUGGGGAAUAUUGGACAAUGGGCGAAAGCCUGAUCUAGCCAUGCCGCGUGUGUGAAGAAGGUCUUCGGAUUGUAAAGCACUUUAAGUUGGGAGGAAGGGUUGUAGAUUAAUACUCUGCAAUUUUGACGUUACCGACAGAAUAAGCACCGGCUAACUCUGUGCCAGCCGCCGCAGUAAUAC